GGGUCGUAGCUCAAUUGGGAGAGCACCUGCUUUGCACGCAGGAGGUUACGGGUUCGAGUCCCGUCGACUCC
rnacentral:tRNA from 1 species